rnacentral:rRNA from 1 species
CGAAUGGCUCAUUAUAUAAGUUAUCGUUUAUUUGAUAGUGCUUUACUACUUGGAUAACCGUGGUAAUUCUAGAGCUAAUACAUGCUAAAAGACCCGACUUUGGAAGGGUUGUAUUUAUUAGAUUAAAAACCAAUGCCCUCUGGGCUCACUGGUGAAUCAUGAUAACUUCGCGAAUCGCAUGGCCUUGUGCCGGCGAUGGCUCAUUCAAAUUUCUUCCCUAUCAACUUUCGAUGUUUGGGUAGUGGCCAAACAUGGUUGCAACGGGUAACGGAGGGUUAGGGCUCGACCCCGGAGAAGGAGCCUGAGAAACGGCUACUACAUCCAAGGAAGGCAGCAGGCGCGCAAAUUACCCAAUCCCGAUACGGGGAGGUAGUGACAAUAAAUACUGAUACAGGGCUCUUUUGGGUCUUGUAAUUGGAAUGAGUACAAUUUAAAUCCCUUAACGAGGAACAAUUAGAGGGCAAGUCUGGUGCCAGCAGCCGCGGUAAUUCCAGCUCUAAUAGCGUAUAUUAAAGUUGUUGUGGUUAAAAAGCUCGUAGUUGAACCUUGGGCCUGGCUGGCGGGUCCGCCUCACCGCGUGUACUUCGCCGGCCGGGCCUUUCCCUCUGUGGAACCCUAUGCCCUUCACUGGGUGUGGCGGGGAAACAGGACUUUUACUUUGAAAAAAUUAGAGUGCUCCAGGCAGGCCUAUGCUCGAAUAUAUUAGCAUGGAAUAAUAAAAUAGGACGUGUGGUUCUAUUUUGUUGGUUUCUAGGACCGCCGUAAUGAUUAAUAGGGACAGCCGGGGGCAUCAGUAUUCAAUUGUCAGAGGUGAAAUUCUUGGAUUUAUUGAAGACUAACUACUGCGAAAGCAUUUGCCAAGAAUGUUUUCAUUAAUCAGGAACGAAAGUUAGGGGAUCGAAGACGAUCAGAUACCGUCGUAGUCUUAACCAUAAACUAUGCCGACUAGGGAUCGGACGAUGUUAUUACUUGACUCGUUCGGCACCUUACGAGAAAUCAAAGUGCUGG